rnacentral:lncRNA from 1 species
GUAAAGUGGACUUGUGAAGGCCGUGAGCGAGUUUACGACAUGGCAGGAGUUGUCGUGGGCGGUGGUGGUUGAACAAUUAUGUUGCAAAUUGUUGGUGGAGCUGCAAAAUUGAAGGAGGUCUUGUGGAGGUGGAGACGGAGCGGAAAGAUUUUGAGGUUUAUGAGGUGUAGGAAGGCGGGUUUCCGGCGGAGAGAGAUGAAAGGUUUUGACGACACAAUUUGUGUGGUGGUUCGGCGGUGACGGGAUGUCGUGGAGAAGACGAUGGGGGAUGGUGGUAGGUUGGGUUUGCCGGCGGCGAAGGUGAAAGGUUGUUGAUGACGGUGUGUGAGGGAGCUUUUCGCUGGAAUUGGUGGCGGAUGGAGAGAGGAUGGUGUUUGGUUUUUUAAGGUCAAUGAGAGAGAAGAGUAUCCUUUUCUUUUCUUUUCGUUGAGAGUCUAUGAGUGAGGUACUGAAUAGUGAAUGGGUUAUAUGAAUGAGGUGAGACUGAGAAAGAGUUAAAGUGAGUGAGGUGAUAGCUGGCGUGUGGGAAGCGGAAACGUGCAGUGUGAGGAGAGUGGCAUAGGUGAUAGCUGUCAACUUAAUAAAAGAAUCCAAUGCCACCUUAUUUUAUUAUUUUGAAAAUCAUUUAUUCGUUUUUAACUAAAAUAUGAUUAUCACAAAUAAAAAAUCUUAAUUAUUUAAUUUGAUAUUUUGAAUAAAGAAAUAAAAUGACCGGACUAAAAAUAGAAAUUGGAUAUAAAUUUACUCGAAAAAUUAAAUCGGAUGUACUAAAAUGAUCAGCACAAAAUAUACUUAUUGAAAAAAAUACAGCGUUUCUUUAAAUUUUGAGAUAAAUUUUCACCGGUUAAAAGAGCUCAAGCGGGUCAAAACGCAAUUGAAAUAGCCGCUGAAAAAUAUAACGGGCACACCAGGUUAAACUACGUGAAUCGUAGGUUAAUAAUACUGGCGUCUGCAAUUUUAAUUUUGAAACUUUUUACCCGCUGAUUUUGCAUGUUCUUGAGAAAUGAUUUAACCAAUUUGUCUGUAUUUUCAAUAAAUUUAUUUUGAAUGAUAUUUUAGGUUUUAUUCAUGAUGAAAUGCAUGUCAUGCUGUGCAUAUGAUGCAAAUUAAAAAUGAAAUCGAGUUUACAAAAAUUUAAAUAUGCCCAGACAAAAUUGGGGUAUGACAGUAGGUCAUAAGCAUUGCAUAUCAUGUUGCAUCUCAUCAGUCAAGACUGGUCAGGAGAUUCAACUGUGCAAGGCAACAAGAUCAUUUUCCAUGAGAUGAAAGCCCUAUGGUUGUUAUAAUGAGCUUACAUGACCCAAGGAUCACUUUGAAGCAAUUUGGCCAAGUGUUGAAGGCUCAGAACUCAUCAGUGCAUGUGCAAGUCAUCUGAAGCCCAUAAAAGUCAACUGCAAAGUCAACUGUGGAUUUGGAGGUGGGAAGUGGUUAGAGAUGCUUCAUUCAUGUUCAAACAAGUCUCAUUUGACAUUUGAAACACUUACAUUGAAGAAUUUGAAGUCAAGUCAAGAAUUUCCCAAAAUAGAAAGUGACCCAUAAUUUGGAAUUUCCAAAAAUGGCAAGGUUUUGGACCAACUUCAACUCAAUUUUAAAUCAUCAAUAAAGCUUCAAAUGAAAUUUUGUCCAACAUGCAAGUUGAAGAUCUUUCUCUCCCAUUUCUAAAAAGUCCAAGAUCAUGGAUUUAUGAUGUGUGGUUGAGGAGAUAUGAUCCAAUCAUGGCAAAGUGUGCUUAAAAUUUCAAAUGGGCAUAACUUUUGAACCAAGGCUCCAAUUUGGGUGGUUCUUUUUGCAUUUUGUUCAUCAUGACAUGCACUUUCCAAACAUAUCAUUACAUAGCAUGAAUUUCACUUGCAUGAUCAUGUGCUCACUUAUGAAGUUUUUGGAAGAAAAAUUUCUAAAAUCAAUUUGGUUGAUCAUAUGCUUAAAAAACCAUUUCCAAAGUGUGCAUGGGUUAUUUUUAAGUGGUUUUGGGCCUUAUGUUGGUACUGUUCACGCAUGCAUGAAGGGCAUAAGGUGAAAAUCCAAUUUUGUGCACACGCCUCAUAACUUGCUAAUCUCAAUUGGUUUUGGCUUAAACAUGUUUUCAGUAUCAUUAGCAAGACAUAUAUAUUGUUAAUCACAAUUGCAUUUGGCAUUAACCACAGUUUUCAGAUCUAGAUCUCAAAAUCAACAAAAAAUUUCUCUCAAAAAUAUUUCCAAAUUCUUCACACAAAAGCCAUUUCUAUUGAUGGAUUCAUGAUCAGGAAGUAUUUUUGAGGCAAAUUGAACGUGGACUUGGAUCAAAUCGUGCUAGUUUGGACCAUACUCGAAGCUUGAAGGUUCAAUGGAGUUUGCAAAAUCUACUGGAUUCACGUGCGUUUGAGCUUCAUUUUUUCCAUCAAUCAUCUCCACAAGCAUCAUAGAGGAGCUUUGGACCAUUACAAGCCUUGGAUAACGCGAUUCAAAGGUGCUGCUCUUCAAGAGGUUGAUUUUCGAUCUCAUCUAUUCUCCAAUUCAUUAUGAUAUUUGUAUAGAUCUUUGAUUGGUGAUCAUUCUGGUAUAAAAUUUGAGUGAAAUGACGUAUUAUUCAUGAAGAUACAUGCAUUUGAAGUUUUGAUGUCAAUUUUUCUUUUCUUCGAUUUGAGCGAUGCUUGAUGUUUUAGUGUGAAUUGUGGUUUGAUCUUGCAUGUACAUGAGCCAAGGAUUCGAUUGAUGUAAUUAUUUUUGAUUUCUGGAAUGGUUUUGAAAAAUCUGGAAAUUUGCAUUUGAAGUUCAUCUUCAUCUUCAUGAGGAAGAUGAAGAUCAUCACGUUUUCCAGAACUUGCUAUGAGUCUGCUAGGAUUUAGCUACGAAAUGUUCAUGAGUUAGCUACGAUUUCUGGAGAUUUUCCAGGCUUAGGGUUUUGCACCAAAACGCUGUCGUUUUGGUGGAGCGCCAAAUUCAAAUCUGGACCAGGUUCGAUCCUGGCCGAGCGCGUUUUUUCAAAUGCUUCAUGAUUUUCACCUUUUCCCUCCCUUUGACCAUGCUUGUUCAUGUUUUGAUUUCAAGUUUUUCCCAAACUUCAUAAAAUCAUAACAAAUUGAAAACUCAUCCAAUUUAAUCCCAAUUUUUUGCAAAAUGCUCUUUAUUCUGUCUAGUUUUUUAUGAUCAUAAAUUGGAAAAUUGUGCAUGGCUGGAUUUUAUUUGGUUCUAGGUUAUGUGAGCAUGUAUCCAUUUUUGACCUUGCCUUGUUUAUCUUGUUGUGAAAUGCUUGUUUCUUAUCCAAUGAACCUGAAAUUUUGCAUGCUAAUUCUAGACACAUUAAUGGACAUUUUGGCUUUGGUUUGACAUUUUUCCCAUGCUCCAUUUCUGUUUUAUGCUUGUGUUAACUUGGUGUGACAAUUUGUGUCACACAUUUGAUUGUUUGACUUGUACAAUGUGAUUUCCAUGCCAAAUGAUCUCCAAUGGUUAUGAUUUUUUGUGUGAUGGAUGUUGUGGAUGUCUUGAUUGCUCAUGAAUUUUUCCAGAAUUAUUUGAAUCAUUUCUGUUUUGAUUGAGAAUUUUCAUUCAUGUUGAUCAUUUGGAUGCCUUGAAUUGGUCUUUGAUUUAUCUUGCACAUAAAAUGAACUUGCCUAGUGAUUUUACUUUGGUUCUUUUUAGGAUUUACUCUUGAUUGAUUAAAUAUGAUCCAUGUUGAGUUUGAGGUUCUGUUUUGGAUUUUUGAUCCUCUUUUGACCCUAGGCUUUGACCUAGUGGUUUGGACUUACCAUUUGGGUUAUGAAUUUCAGGUUCAAGUGUACAUUUCCAUGAUUGGAGUGGCUCCUUCAUUUAAGCUUAGUCAAUUGUUGUCAUGUGCUAACCUUUGUGUGUUUUGUAGGCUUUGAGAACAAUUCACUUGUGCUUGUGGCUUGCUCAUUGUUGUCUAAUGAUGCUUUGUCUGUCUGUUUGUUAUUAACUGUUGAUUGUUUGUCUGUACAGUUAAACUGAUUGGUUUAGCUAUUUCCACAGGUACCUAAGUUGCUUUGAGUUCAUUUGAACUUGCUUGGCAUUGCUUGUGGUUUGCAUACCACUAAGGUAUAAUUCCUUGACUUCAUGUAGUCUGGAAGACCUAUUGUUAUUGGUAGGCACCUGUCUGAAGCCCUCCUUAAGAGGCAAUGUUUGUGAAUGUUUAAUUUUGUGCCAAGCAGGUAAAGACCUCUUAAGAGGCAAUUGACAGAUGGAAGGGAUAUGCAAUCCAUCCCCUGCUAUUCAGUUGUGUCACUCACUUUGCUCACACACCAUGUGUUGACGCAUUGUGAGUAAGAGCCCAAAAUCUAGUCCAUAGAGUCAGUCAUCUGUGGAGAAGAGUUCCUACAUUCUGAACUCCCACACUUUCUAUUUUGAGUCAAGCUCUCCCAGGCCAGGGAUAAGAGCUGUGAGGUCUUAUCCUCACUUCCCAUUUCAUCUGCUUAUCAUCUGCUUCACCCUAACUCUCAAUGUUAGGGUUAAGAGCUAAAAACACCCCAUUCCAGUUGGCUUGUUUCUGCAGCCUAACCUUGUAUGAGCCCAAUUGUUUGCAUAUAGUGUGUGUGCUUGCUUUAUUGUACUUGUGUUUGCUCAAUUGUGCUGUUUAGGAUAGCUUGCUUCCUGUGCAAGUUAGGAUAGAAACCUCAACCUAGGACCAUUGUGGAUUACAUGAUAACUAUUAGGCUCGAGUCAGGCUCCCUUCUAGUUUGUAAUUUCCCAGUCUCUAGUUAGGUUAGAAGUUCUUUCCCUGUUUAGGGGAACUACGUCGCCCUGAUCCUCAUACCAGAUGAGGUACGUAGGCAGGAGAUGAGCUGAUCUCUCCGGGCGCCCUUUUUCUUUUGCAACCCUUUGCGUGUGUUGGAGUCUGACAUAAGUCCAGCGAUUGGCAGUUGGUUUCCUGUGUCUUGUUUGCUUGUUGGAGUCUGACAUAAGUCCAGCGAUUGACAGUUGGUUUCCUGUGUGUGUGUUUGUUGGUUCGGAGUCUGAUAUAAGUCCAGCGAUUGGCAUUCGAUUUCCAUGUUCGCCUGUUUGUGUGGCGUCUGACGUAAGUCCAGCGAUUGGCAGUCGGUUUCCUGUGUGGUCUUGUUUGGCGUGCGUUAGCCGAGCUACGAGUGCUCUGAUUCUUCUCUGAUUAGAGAAGAUACGUAUGCAUAGGAUGCGACAUCCUAGCGAGCACGUUUCCCCUGUCCCGGAACUACGUCGCCUCUGAUGUCUGUGUCUGAUAGACUACGUAGGCCCAGGAUGCGAUAUCCUGCCGAGUNCAAUAUCCUGCCGAGUCCUGUUUCUUUUGUCUUUCUGUGUUUCCUUCCAGCCUUGUGCAGUUUGUGAGCAGUUUUAGCAACCUUUCUUCUUCCUUUCGAGCGUGGAUCCCAUCGAGUACGACGGAUGCGUAGGGCUGCUAAUACCUUCCCUUCGCAUAACCGACUCCCGUACCCAUCCAUCUCUGGUCGCGAGACCAUGUCUUUUCCAGGUUUACUUCGAGCGUUUCCUUUCCCUCUUUUGGGAUAAAUAACGCACGGUGGCGACUCUGUUAUUUUGUUUUCCCGCCGGUUUUUCGCGUAAUGCGACAGCUGGCGACUCUGCUGGGGACUAAAGAGAAGUUGACCUCUUGCUGGUCCAUCUUCCCUAAGCGAGUCACUCCUAGCGCUCUCUAGGAUAAGGUUUGGUUGCUUUUACUGUUUCAUUUAUUGCAUUUAUGAUUAUGAUGUGAUUGUUUAUGUUUGCAUUCAUCAUAUUUUCAUCAGUGCUGGCUGUGUGUUUGUCUCUCUGUGGGGUGGGAGUUCCAAGAGGUAAAAGGCCCAAUACCCAGGCUAUGAGUGAACUUUAGGACACCUAGGAAUAGAGUGAUUCAUGGGAAGCGGGUGGUAUUGCGCCACUUAGCGGAACUUGAUAUCACGAGCAGUUCAGAUCCUUAUGGGGUAUUAUCGGUGCAUACAUCGGGUGUGUACAUGAUGAUAUUCUAUGAAAGGGUUGUUUAUCCUGCGUUUCUCUUGACCUUACCCUGGCCUAGAUGACACCCGUGAGUGGGGAGGGAAUGAAUCAUUUUACAGGUACCGUUGGUGACUUGUUGGUGACUCUUGGUUCCUGUUGGUGACUUGGUUCUGAGAUAUAUGGGUUCCAGAUGACUUUGGGUCUCAGAUGACUUUGUGGUUCCGAAUUCAGGCCGAAGCUUUGAACCUGUGCUCCGUAACACACAGCCAACCAGUCGCGUUUGCAUCAUUUGCAUCAUAGCAUAUUUAUUUUCAAAAAAAAAAAGUAAUGCAAAAAAAAAGAAAGAAAGAAAAGAAAAGAAAAAAAGCUAAUCUCCUCAUGCAUAUCAUUUCUCAGGUUUAUUUGGGAGUCUGUUCACUGUGAGAGAUGGCAUCCGUUCCAGAGUUGAAGAGGAAGACGUGCACCUACAGUUUUCACCGUGAGCCAUUGACGUCUUUGAUAGAGUUGAGCAACUUUGUGACCGGCGGUAAUCAGAAGGUGUUUGUUGAUCAGUAUGGGGAUUUGUUGACACUGUUGAAGAUGGUGGUAGAUCCAGUACCGUUGCAGACUCUUCUACAGUUCUAUGACCCAGAGCUCCGUUGUUUCACUUUCUAGGAUUAUCAGUUAGCGACCACUCUUGAGGAGUACUCCAUUCUGAUGAAUGUCCCGAUCAGAUAUCAGGUGCCUUUCUUCGAUGUUCCAAAGGAGGUUGAUUUCAGAGUCAUUGCCAGAGCUCUUCAUUUGAGUAUCAAAGAAGUGAGUGAAAAUUGGAAGUCAAGUGGUGAUGUUGUGGGGUUUCCUUUGAAGUACCUGAUGAGGAUGGCUAAAGAAGAAACAAAGAAGGGAAAUUGGGAAGCUUUUCAUGCUCAGUUGGCUACUAUGAUUUAUGGGGUGGUGUUGUUUCCGAGUAUGCCUAAUUUUGUGGACUUUGCUGCUAUCACUAUCUUCAUCAGAGGAAAUCCAGUUCCUACUUUGUUAGCUGACACUUACUAUGCUAUUCACAGCAGGCAUGGUAAGGGUGGAGCUAUCAGAUGCUGUCUCCCUUUAUUGCUCAGAUGGUUCUUGUCUCUUCUGCCAGCCAGUGGACCUUUUGUAGAUGCUCAGAGCACUCAUAAGUGGACUCAGAGGAUUAUGUCUCUUACCUCCUAUGACAUCAGGUGGCAAUCUUACCGGAUGGAUGUGCGUAAUGUCAUCUUGAGUUGUGGAGAGUUUCGUAAUGUGCCACUCAUAGGGACUAAAGGUUGCAUCAAUUACAACUCGGUUCUUUCUCUUCGCCAGUUGGGGUUUGUGAUGAAUGGAAGACCACUAGAUGCUGAGAUAGCAGAAAGUGUGUAUUUUGAGUAGCGGAGUGACCCGGCUAGAUUGGAGCAAGUGGGAAGAGCUUGGAAGACUAUUGGUGUCAAGGAUGGAGCUGUGUUAGGGAAGAAGUUUGCCAUUGCUAUGCCUGAUUACAUUGAUUGGGUCAAGAGAGUUGAGACUUUGUUAUUGCCCUAUGAUAGGAUGGAGUCUUUGCAAGAGCAACCACCUUUGAUCCUUGCGGAGAGUGUGCCUGCUGAGCACUACAAGCAAGCCUUGAUGGAGAAUCGUCGGUUGAAGGAGAAGGAACAAGAUACCCAGAUGGAGCUCUACAAAGCCAAAGCUGACAAGUUGAACUUGGCUCAUCAACUCAAAGGCAUGCAGGGUGAAGAUGCUAGCAGAUUGAAGAGCAAGAAGAGGUCUUAUGAGGAGUUAGAGACAUUGCUGAAUGAAGAACACCGUGAGUGUUUGAGGUUGCAGAAAGCUGAAGCUAAUUAUCAGAAGAAGAUAAGGGAUUUGGAAAAGCAGCUCAGAGACAAAGAUGUCCAGUUGAAGAAGGAGGUAGACUUGAGACGUGCAUCAGAGAGCCAGCUUGGAGGAGAAGUUGUGGAGCUCAGAAGGCAACUGAAGGAGAAGCUCACGCCUUUACCAGAGUGUUCAGAAUGUGACUUGUUGAUAGACCAGUGCCAGUAUCUGAAGACGCUCAUUCCUGGAGGACAUCUUUCCUAGCUUGUAUUCGUUGUUUAUGUUGAGAAUCACCUCCAGGAUUGUUGGAUGGGAUUCAUUGUUGUACCCUGAUCAUUUGGAUCUUUGCUUGAAUAUUGUUGUAUGAUCCUAGUUGCUCAUGUAUAUAGAUGAGAUUGUUGAUGUUUUACCUCGUGCUCAUUAUCCCGUGUAGUCUGCUUCUGUGUUGUUCAUUGUUGCAGGUUGCCAUCUUUUUAAAGAUGAAUUAGGCUUUUGAAUGCCUGAGAAAUGAACAUAUCAUGUGCAUCAUACGCAUCAUUAGCAUCAUACACAUAUCAUUCUUGCAUUACAGGUGUUCUUGAGCAAGACUUCUCAUUCUGGUUCCUAUUUCAGGCAGGAUUGCUGAUCAACGUCCGCACCCUACUCUACGAGGUUGAAUCAACAGAGGAAUAUGGAUCAAGUGCAAACUGAGUUAGCAGAGAUGAGGGCUAACAUGGCCCAGUUCAUGCAUAUGAUGCAAGGGGUUGCGCAAGGUCAAGAAGAACUUCGAGCCCUAGUCCAGAGACAAGAAGCUGCAAUUCCACCGGUCAACCAUGCUUUGCCAGAGGGAGGCCCAGUCAAUGACCCUGCUACUGCUGCUGUUCCCAUCAACAACUAUGCUGUGGGUGAUGAGUUGAGGGGUAUCAGAAUCAACGGUCAACCUAUUGCUCUAGAGACAGUUAAUGCCAGAGUGACUCGUGCUCCAAUCCGUAAUCCUGCUCCAUUGGUUGAUAGGCAGGAGGAUAUGUUUACUCUCCUCAGUGAGGAUGAUGAAGUUGUGGGAAGAACUGACGAAAGGGAUAGGAGGGUUGAUGCCCUAGCUGAGAAGAUCAGAGCCAUGGAGUGUCAGAACUCUUUGGGGUUUGAUGUUACAAAUAUGGGAUUGGUUGAAGGGCUGAGGAUCCCUUAUAAGUUCAAGGCACCUUCUUUUGACAAAUACAAUGACACUUCUUGUCCUCGCACUCAUGUGCAGGCCUACUACAGAAAGAUCUCUGCCUACACAGAUGAUGAGAAGAUGUGGAUGUACUUUUUCCAGGACAGCUUAUCUGGAGCUUCCUUGGAUUGGUACAUGGAGCUGAAGAGGGAGUCCAUCAGAAGUUGGAGAGAUCUGGGGGAAGCCUUUCUGAGGCAAUACAAGCAUAAUAUGGACAUGGCGCCGAGUCGAACUCAGUUACAGAGCUUAUGUCAGAAGUCUGGAGAGAGUUUCAAAGAGUACGCCCAGAGAUGGCGUGAAUUAGCUGCAAGGGUGCAACCUCCGAUGCUGGAGAAGGAGUUGACCGAUAUGUUUAUUGGGACUUUGCAAGGAAUAUUUAUGGACCGGAUGGGAAGUUGCCCGUUUGGUAGCUUUUCUGAUGUGGUGAUUUGUGGAGAAAGGACAGAGAGUCUCAUUAAAGCUGGAAAGAUUCAGGACGCUGGUUCUUCAUCUUCAAAGAAGCCAUUUUCUGGAGCACCCAGAAGAAGAGAGGGAGAGACCAAUGCUGUGCAACACAGAAGAAAUAUGAAUAGCGGACAUUAUCGCCAGGUUGCUGCUGUGACCAUCCCAGCACCUCAACCACGACAACAGCAACAACAAAGAGCACCACAACAACAACAACAGCAACGUCCAUUUCAGCCGAGACAGAGAAUGCCGGAUCGUCGUUUCGACCCGUUGCCUACGACAUACGCUGAGUUGCUGCCCGAAUUGCUCAGAUUGGGGUUUGUUGAGUUGCGUACAAUGGCUCCGGUGACGAAGAUACCACUUGGGUAUGAUACCAACAUUCGUUGUGAUUUCCACUCCGGUGCACCGGGGCACCAUAUUGAGAAUUGUCGGGCUUUUCAUCAUAAGGUCCAGGACUUAAUUGACGCCAAAACAAUCAAUUUUGCUCCUGUGCCUAAUGUUGUGAACAAUCCUAUGCCUCAGCAAUUGAGAAUUGUCGGGCUUUUCAUCAUAAGGUCCAGGACUUAAUUGACGCCAAAACAAUCAAUUUUGCUCCUGUGCCUAAUGUUGUGAACAAUCCUAUGCCUCAGCAUGGUGCGCAUAGGGUGAACAGUGUGGAAGAUGGAGAAGUUGUGGACCUGGUAGUUGAUGUUGAAGAUGUCCAGACGUUGCUGUUUGUUGUGAAAAAGCGUCUGUUGGAUGAGGGAGUGUUCCCGGGUUGUGCUGAGGUUUGUUCAGACUGUGAAUACUCCGAGAAUGGGUGUAUAUAGUUGAAGAAUGGUAUCCAGGGACUGAUUGAUGAGGGUUGUUUGCAGUUUGCUAGGGCUGUGAAAGAACGUGGGAUGGUGUCAACUGUUACCAUUUAUUUCAAACCGUCUGAAGGGCGUGGCCAGAGAACUGUCAAUGCACCUGCAACCGUUGGUACUCCUGUUACCAUUUCUGCCCCAGUAACUGUCAGUGCUCCCACUACUAUUGCUGUGUCUGGUAGAAGGGCUGUUGAGAACAGUAGGGCCGUGCCGUGGAAGUAUGACAAUGCUUACCGCAACAACCGAAGGGCAGAAUGUCAGAUCAGGCCGGUGAAUCAGGCUCUAGUGACUAUUGGUUUGCCGAGUAGAGCUCCUGUGACUGUGGGUCCGGUUGUGGACAAUGUAGGGGGACCAGGAGGUUUCACAAGAAGUGGUCGUCUGUUUGCGCCGCAGGUUUUGAGGGACAACAAUGCUGAGGCUCUUGCCAAAGCGAAGGGUAAGCAAGUUGUGGUUGAUGAAGAACCUGUUCAGAAGGACGCGCCUGAGGGGUCGUUUGAGAAGGAUGUGGAGGAGUUUAUGAAGAUAAUUAAGAAGAGUGUCUACAAGAUUGUAGAUCAGAUGAAUCAAACUCCGUCAAAGAUUUCUAUCCUCUCAUUGCUAUUGUGCUCUGAGGCACACCGUAAUGCCUUGUUGAAGAUGUUGAAUUUGGCUUACGUGCCUCAGAAGAUUUCUGUCAACCAGUUGGAGGGUGUCAUUGCUAAUGUGAGCACGAGGCAUGGUUUGGGGUUCACAUACUUGGAUCUGACGCCUGAAGGUCGCAAUCAUAAUAAAGCCCUGCAUAUCACCAUGGAGUGCAAAGGCGCAGUAUUGUCACAUGUGUUGGUGGAUACUGGCUCGUCUUUGAAUGUGCUGCCCAAGAAGAUUCUGAGCAAGAUUGAUGUUAAAGGGGUUGUCCUCACUCCAAGCGAUCUCAUUGUUCGUGCAUUUGAUGGAUCCAAACGGUCUGUUUUUGGUGAAGUCACAUUGCCUGUGAAGAUUGGCCCGGAGGUGUUCAGUAUUGUCUUCUAUGUGAUGGAUAUCCAACCAGCAUAUAGUUGUCUUUUGGGGCGUCCCUGGAUACAUGGGGCUGGGGCAGUUUCGUCAACUCUCCACCAGAAGCUGAAGUACGUAUGGAACUGAUAUGCACUAACCUUUGAGACUUAUGCAUUUCCUUCAAAAUUCCUGAAACAACUUUGUUAACUUUUGGAAUAUUAAUUCUUUUGUGACUUAGAGGAAGUAAUUUGCCUUAUAAUUGAAAGAACGACAUAAUUUGAUACAUGCAUAUAAAAUAAAUGAGACUGAUAUGAAAUAAAGGAGAAAUAAGAAAUGGAAUUAAGUAGAAGGGGCGCCACACUCUUUCUAAUCCAAGAGAGAAUGAUAAGCCUAUGGAUGAGGAUCACCACAAGAAAAGGAUUUCUUGAUAAGAUCAAUUUUGGUCCAAUCCAGAACCUAAGAGCAAAUACUCUCACUUACACAAUGUGUAAACUUGCCAAAAUUCAUUGAUUCAAAAAGAAGAUACAUGCCUCCUUUAUAUAGGAAUGGCUUAAGAUAAUGAAAUAAGUAAAAAUUAACUCCUAAGAAAACAAAAGGUUUCAGCCACUAAUUAUCAUGAUAGUGGGUUGAGUUAUUACAAAGAAAGUGCAAAAUAAAGAAGAGAUAGUGGGGUUCUUGAAAGGGCAGAAUAAUGGCAAUUCUUUAUUUACCACUUCUCUUGCAAUUUUCGUCCAUUAUAGUGUGGUUAUUGGUAUUUCCUUUAUUUUUAUUUAUUUAUGCAUUAUUGGGCCUUUUAUCACAUGCUUGGAUGAUAAGAAUAAACUUGGGCUCUUUUUCUUCAAUCUGGCCCAUGCAUUCUAUUGACUUGAUCAUGAAGUGAACUAAAGCAUCAUUGACUCUUCUUGCACGUGCCCUUGUCAUAGGACCUCCUAAGCCUUGCAUUGUAUCAUUUAUGUCUUGGAUUAUGUCCUCAUCAUUCCCUCCUUCUUGAAAAGAAUUCGACCUCGAAUUUAGACCAUCAUCACCUACAUCAAAAGGAGAUAAAUCAGCCACAUUAAAAGUAGUACUUACCCCAUACUCACCUGGAAGUUCUAUUUUGUAGGCAUUGUCAUUGAUCCUUGAAAGUACUUGAAAUGGUCCAUCUCCCCUAGGUUGAAGUUUGGACUUCCUUUGUGAUGGGAAUCUCUCUUUUCUCAUAUUUAUCCAAACCCAAUCCCCGGGUUCAAAAAUAACUUUCUUUCGCCCUUUGUUUGCACUUUUUGCAUAACUUUUAUUUUUCUUUUCAAUUUGCAAUUUUACUUGUUCAUGCAAUUUUCUCACAAAUUUAGCCUUAGCUUUCCCAUCUUUAUGCUUCAAAAUAGAUGUGUUAGGAAAUGGUAACAAAUCAAGAGGUGUUAAAGGAUUAAAACCAUACACAAUCUCGAAAGGUGAAUGUUGUGUAGUGCUAUGGACAGCCCUAUUAUAAGCAAACUCUACAUGAGGUAACCAUUCCUCCCACAUUUUUAAAUUCUUUUUAAGAACAGCCCUAAGAAGAGUAGAAAGAGUUCUAUUUACUACUUCAGUUUGUCCAUCUGUUUGGGGAUGACAAGUAGUGGAAAAUAAUAACUUUGUACCCACCUUUCCCCACAACGUCCUCCAAAAAUGGCUUAAGAACUUGGAGUCACGAUCAGAGACAAUGCUCCUUGGUAAGCCAUGUAGGCGCACCACUUCCUUAAAGAACAAAUCAGCAACAUGACACGCAUCAUCCACCUUUUUACAUGGAAUAAAAUGUGCCAUUUUUGAAAACCUGUCCACAACUACAAAAAUAGAAUCUUUGCCAUUCUUUGUUCUAGGCAGCCCCAAAACAAAGUCCAUGGAAAUGUCAAUCCAAGGAAAUUCAGGUACAGGCAAAGGAGUAUACAAACCAUGAGGCAUAACUUUUGAUUUAGCCUUUUUACACACAAUGCAUCUUUCACAAAGCUUUUGGACAUCAAUUUUCAUGUGAGGCCAAUAAAAAUGUUCUUUUAAGAAUUCUAGAGUUUUAGAAACCCCAAAAUGACCCAUUAGUCCUCCCUCAUGCGCCUCUUUUACAAGUAAUUCUCUAAUGGAACCUUUAGGCACACAUAGUUUUUUUCUUUAAAUAAAUAGCCAUUGUGCCUAAAAUACCCAUUGAAGGCAGUGUGCUCACAAGCUAAAAAUUUUGAAGAAAAUUCAAGGUCACUUUUAUACAAAUCUUUAAUAUGCUCAAGACCAAAAACUUUUGUUUCAAGAGUAGAAAGCAAGACAUGUCUUCUUGAGAGUGCAUCUGCCACAACAUUAGAUUUACCUUUCUUAUGCUUGAUUACAUAAGGAAAUUGUUCAAGAAACUCAACCCACUUGGCAUGCCUCUUAUUCAACUUACCUUGUCCCUUCAAAUGUUUCAAGGAUUCGUGAUCACUAUGAAUGACAAACUCUUUGGGCAGCAAGUAAUGUUGCCAAGUUUGUAGAGCUCUCACCAAGGAAUACAAUUCCUUAUCAUAUGUAGAAUAAUUAAGGGCAGCCCCUUUUAGCUUUUCACUAAAAUAAGCAAGUGGAUGACCUUCCUGCAACAAAACAGCUCCAAUUCCCACAUUAGAUGCAUCACAUUCAAUUUCAAAAGAUUUAGAAAAAUUAGGCAAUGCAAGAAUUGGUGCUUGGGUGAGCUUUUCCUUUAGGGCAGCAAAGGCUUGCUCUUGUUUUUCACCCCAUUUAAAACCAACAUCCUUUUUAACAAUUUCAUUGAGGGGUGCUGCCAAGGUACUAAAGUCCUUCACAAACCUCCUAUAAAAACUAGCCAAACCAUGAAAGCUUCUUACCUCACUUACAUUUUUGGGAGGAGGCCACUCUCGAAUGGCUUUCACCUUUUCCUCAUCAACGUGGACUCCUUUAGAGCUUACAAUGAAACCUAAGAAAAUCACAUGAUCGGUGCAAAAGACACAUUUUUCUAGGUUGGCAUACAAAUUUUCAUAUCUUAGCACUUGCAAAACAGCCCUUAAAUGAAUGCAAUGAUCAUCUAAGUUCUUGCUAUAAAUCAAAAUAUCAUCAAAAUACACAACAACAAACUUACCCAAGAACUCCCUUAACACAUGGUUCAUUAGUCUCAUGAAAGUACUAGGUGCAUUAGUUAAUCCAAAAGGCAUAACCAUCCACUCAUACAAACCAAAUUUUGUUUUAAAAGCAGUUUUCCAUUCAUCCCCUUCCCUUAUUCUAAUUUGGUGAUAUCCACUUUUCAAAUCAAUUUUAGAAAAUAAGCAUGCACCACACAAUUCAUCAAGCAAAUCAUCUAGUCUAGGAAUAGGAUGCCUAUAUUUAAUGGUAAUAUUGUUAAUGGCCCUACAAUUAGUGCACAUCCUCCAACUACCAUCCUUUUUAGGGACUAGAAUAAUAGGGACAGCACAAGGACUUAAACUUUCUCUUACCCAUCCUUUACUUAUCAAUUCAGCAACUUGCCUUUGUAUCUCUUGAGUUUGUUGUGGAUUGCUUCUAUAUGCUGGCCUAUUAGGCAAAGAUGCUCCUGGAUUGAGAUCAAUAUGAUGUUCAAUUCCUCUUAUAGGUGGUAAACCACUUGGCACCUCUUCCGGAAACAAUUCUUUAAAUUCCUGCAAAAGAGACUCAAUACAAUUUGGCAAUUUUUUUUCAUUAGAAAUAGUGGUUAGCAAAGGCACCUCCUUGCAAAAGAGCAAGUACAAAGGCUGGUGUGACACAAUUGCUUCUUUCACAUCUCUUUUUUUUGCAAUUAAACUUUGUUUCUUUUCUCUUUUAUCAUUCUUUUUCUUUUCAUUCUUUUCUUUUUCUUUUUCUUUUUCUUUUUCUUUUUCUUUUUCUUUUUCUUUUUCUUUUUCUUUUUCUUUUUCUUUUUCUUUUUCUUUUUCUUUUUCUUUUUCUUUUUCUUUUUCUUUUUCUUUUUCUUUUUCUUUUUCUUUUUCUUUUUCUUUUUCUUUUUCUUUUUCUUUUUCUUUUUCUUUUUCUUUUUCUUUUUCUUUUUCUUUUUCUUUUUCUUUUUCUUUUUCUUUUUCUUUUUCUUUUUCUUUUUCUUUUUCUUUUUCUUUUUCUUUUUCUUUUUCUUUUUCUUUUUCUUUUUCUUUUUCUUUUUCUUUUUCUUUUUCUUUUUCUUUUUCUUUUUCUUUUUCUUUUUCUUUUUCUUUUUCUUUUUCUUUUUCUUUUUCUUUUUCUUUUUCUUUUUCUUUUUCUUUUUCUUUUUCUUUUUCUUUUUCUUUUUCUUUUUCUUUUUCUUUUUCUUUUUCUUUUUCUUUUUCUUUUUCUUUUUCUUUUUCUUUUUCUUUUUCUUUUUCUUUUUCUUUUUCUUUUUCUUUUUCUUUUUCUUUUUCUUUUUCUUUUUCUUUUUCUUUUUCUUUUUCUUUUUCUUUUUCUUUUUCUUUUUCUUUUUCUUUUUCUUUUUCUUUUUCUUUUUCUUUUUCUUUUCUUUCUUGAUCAUAUUUUUCUCUCAUUUUUCUUUGAUCUUCUCUCACCUCACUAGGAUUUAACGGUACAAGAUUGAUCUUUUGAUCAUGAUACAUAAAAGAGUACUUAUUGGAGUAUCCAUCAUGAUUGGCUUUUCUAUCAAAUUGCCAAGGCCUUCCUAAUAACAAAUGACUAGCUUCCAUUGGUACUACAUCACACAACACUACAUCCUCAUAUUUUCCAAUUUUAAAACAAAUCUCAACUUGUUUAUUAACAAGCAUUUCUACACUUUCAUUAAGCCAUUGGAGUUUGUAAGGCUUAGGGUGAGGUUUUGUUUCCAAUUUUAGUUUAGAAACCAGACGCGUGCUUGCAACAUUUGUACAACUUCCUCCAUCAAUUAUUAAAGAACAAACCUUUCCUUGCACAAAGCAUCUUGUAUGAAAAAGGUUUUCUCUUUGACUUGUAUCCUCCUCCUUUAUUUGGCUUCCCAACAUUCUUCUCACCAUGAGUAAAUCUCCACUAGGUAUUUCUUCUUCAAACUCCUCAUCAUAAUCACCAUCCUCCUCUUCAACAAUUUCUUCAUUUUCUUCCAUAAGCAUAGUUCUCUUUGUUGGACAUUGAGAUGCAAUAUGUCCUUGGCCUUGACACUUGAAACACUUAACACUUUUGUUAGUUGAAACACUUGAAGAAGAAGAUGUAAUAGUUUUACCUUUGUUUUCAACCGUGGCUUCCUUAGAUGAUGAAGCACCUUCCUUCUUUGUUUUGUCCUUCCAACUUUGAGAAUUGAAAGUGGUGGAAUUUCUCCUUGCUUGGCUCUUUCUUUUGAGUUGUUGUUCCACUUUGAUAGCUUGGUGUACCAAUUCAUCCAUUUCAACAUAGUGAUGAAGUUCCACUAUGUCACUAAUGUCAUGAUUUAGACCAUGGAGAAACCUAGCCAUAGUUGCUUCAUCGUCCUCCUCUACAUUAGCUCUAAUUUUGAGAACUUCCAUCUCCUUGAAAUAUUCUUCAACAUUUUUAGAACCUUGAGUGAGCCUUUGCAAUUUGUUGUGCAAUUCCCUAUGAUAAUAGGAAGGAACAAACCUUCUCCUCAUGAUUCUUUUCAUCUCUUCCCAAGUAUCAAUUGGUCGUUCUGCAUACCUCCUUCUAUCUUUGGUCAAUUGAUCCCACCAAACUAAAGCAUACUCCUUGAACUCAAUAGAAGCAACCUGCACUUUUUCAAGAUUAGAAUAACCUUUUUAGUUCAAGGAUAAAAGACAACUAUAUGCUGGUUGGAUAUCCAUCACAUAGAAGCUGGGUGAGCAGAAAGGGUCCCUGGAUACAUGGGGCUGGGGCAGUUUCGUCAACUCUCCACCAGAAGCUGAAGUACGUAUGGAACAGUCAGAUUGUAACUGUGUGCGGCGAGGAGGACAUUCUGGUGAGUCAUUUAUCCUCUUUCAAGUAUGUGGAGGUGGAUGGCGAGAUCCAUGAAACUCUAUGCCAGGCGUUUGAGACCGUUGCUCUUGAGAGGGUGGCUUUCGCUGAGCAGAAGAAGCCAAGUGCCUCAAUUGCAUCCUACAAGCAGGUUGUGGAGGUUGUCAACUCGGGCAAUGCAGAAGGCUGGGGCAAGAUGGUUGACCUGCCUGUGAAAGAAGACAAGUUCGGUAUUGGUUAUCAACCUCUGCAGGCAGAGCAGGGUGAGCAGAAAGGGCCGAGUUCCUUUACCAGCGAUGGGCUGAUGAAUCAUGGCGACGUCUUUGCAGCCAGUAGUGAAGACGAGGACAGUGAUUGUGAUCUGAACAACUGGGUUCGCCCGUGUGCACCAGGGGAGACGAUCAACAAUUGGACAUCUGAAGAAGUGGUCCAAGUUACUCUUCAAACAGAGUAAUUUUCUUUUGUUUUCAUUUUGCACAAAACCCUACGUUCUGCCCAAGGCGUAGUGGUUCAUUGUAGGGCCUCAUCAUGUUUUUCAAUGAUAUCAUUAAUAAAGGACGUUUUGCAAACAAUUUUGUGAUCCCUGUCUUUCUCUUUUUGUUUUUCAUUUUUUAAAACAAUAAAAAUGGCAAUGUUUUUUGUUUUUUCGUGACUUUUUUGAACUCGUUUUUCUAAAAUAAAGCAUUAAACAUGCAGAAUUGAUCCUACAGACUCCACUAUAAACAGUUCUGUUAUGGCUCAGUAUGAUUUCAAUAAUCCCAUCUACCAAGCUGAAGAGGAGAGUGAGGAAGAUUGUGAACUCCCUAAAGAACUGGUCAGAUUAUUGAAGCAGGAGGAAAGGGUCAUCCAACCUCAUCAGGAGGAGUUGGAGAUUAUUAAUCUUGGUACUGAGGACGCCAGAAGAGAGAUCAAGAUCGGGGCUGCUUUGAAGGAAGAUGUCAAGAGAAGGCUGAUUGAAAUGCUGAGAGAAUAUGUGGAGAUAUUCGUCUGGUCGUAUCAGGAUAUGCUGGGGUUGGAUACAAAUAUUGUGGUGCAUAGACUACCUCUCAGAGAAGAUUGUCCUUCAGUCAAGCAGAAGCUGCGCAGAACUAGUCCCGAUAUGGCGGUCAAGAUCAAGGAAGAGGUUCAGAAGCAGUUGGAUGCGGAUUUUCUGUCAGUGACCAAUUAUCCCCUGUGGGUGGCCAACAUCGUUCCCGUGCCGAAGAAGGACGGUAAAGUCAGGAUGUGUGUCGAUUACCGGGAUUUAAACAGAGCCAGUCCGAAAGAUGACUUCCCAUUACCUCACAUUGAUGUAUUGGUUGAUAAUACGGCUCAAUCCUCGGUUUUCUCUUUCAUGGAUGGUUUCUCUGGAUAUAAUCAGAUUAAGAUGGCGCCAGAGGACAUGGAAAAGACGACAUUCAUUACACCUUGGGGCACGUUCUGCUAUAAGGUGAUGCCAUUUGGGCUGAAGAAUGCCGGUGCUACCUAUCAGAGGGCUAUGACGACUCUCUUUCAUGACAUGAUGCACAAAGAGAUUGAAGUGUACGUGGAUGAUAUGAUUGCGAAGUCGCAGACAGAAGAGGAGCACCUGGUUAAUUUGCAGAAGUUGUUUGACCGGUUGAGAAAGUUCAAGCUGAGGUUGAAUCCGAACAAGUGUACGUUUGGGGUGAGAUCAGGGAAGCUUUUAGGCUUCAUUGUCAGUGAGAAAGGGAUUGAGGUUGAUCCAGCAAAAGUCAAAGCUAUUCAAGAAAUGCCUGAACCAAAAACGGAAAAGCAGGUUCGUGGGUUUUUAGGGAGAUUGAACUACAUUGCAAGGUUUGUAUCUCACCUAACUGCCACGUGUGAACCGAUAUUCAAAUUGCUUAGAAAGAAUCAAGCAAUCAGGUGGAAUGAUGACUGUCAGAAAGCUUUUGACAAGAUAAAAGAGUAUUUACAGAAACCUCCAAUCCUUAUACCUCCAGUUCCAGGGAGACCUCUGAUAAUGUACCUGUCAGUGACUGAGAACUCGAUGGGGUGUGUAUUGGGACAGCAUGACGAGUCUGGUCGAAAAGAGCAUGCCAUAUACUACCUUAGCAAAAAGUUUACCGACUGUGAAACAAGAUAUUCACUGCUCGAGAAAACUUGCUGUGCUUUGGCCUGGGCUGCUCGCCGACUGAGGCAGUAUAUGUUGAACCAUACUACCUUGUUGAUUUCUAAGAUGGAUCCAGUGAAGUACAUCUUUGAGAAGCCGGCUCUCACCGGACGUGUUGCCCGUUGGCAGAUGAUUUUAACCGAAUAUGAUAUCCAGUACACGUCGCAGAAGGCCAUCAAAGGUAGUAUUCUGUCAGACUACCUUGCCGAGCAACCGAUCGAGGAUUAUCAGCCGAUGAUGUUUGAAUUCCCUGAUGAAGACAUCAUGUAUCUGAAGAUGAAAGAUUGUGAAGAGCCUCUUGUCGAGGAAGGACCGGAUCCGGAUGACAAGUGGACAUUGAUGUUUGAUGGGGCUGUUAAUGUGAAUGGCAACGGUGUUGGGGCAGUACUGAUUAAUCCUAAAGGUGCUCAUAUACCUUUUUCUGCCAUACUGACUUUUGAUGUGACCAACAACGAGGCUGAGUAUGAGGCUUGUAUCAUGGGGAUAGAAGAAGCCAUUGAUCUAAGGAUCAAAACUCUGGAUAUUUAUGGAGAUUCCGCUCUAGUGAUUAACCAGGUCAAUGGAGAUUGGAAUACUCAUCAGCCGCAUUUGAUUCCGUAUCGAGAUUACACUAGAAGAAUCCUGACUUUCUUCAAGAAGGUGAAGCUGUAUCACAUCCCCCGAGAUGAAAAUCAGAUGGCUGAUGCCUUGGCUACUUUGUCUUCUAUGAUCAAAGUUCAUUGGUGGAAUCAUGUGCCACAUGUUGCGGUGAAUCGACUCGAGAGGCCUGCGUAUGUGUUUGCAUCCGAGUCUGUUGUUGAUGAGAAGCUGUGGUACUAUGAUAUCAAGAAUUUCCUCAAGAGCCAGGAGUAUCCUGAAGGUGCGUCAAAGAAUGACAAGAAAACCCUGAGAAGGCUAGCUGGAAGCUUUUAUUUGAAUCAGGAUGAUGUGUUGUACAAUCGCUUCAUCCUGGUUGCGAUUGAUUACUUCACCAAAUGGGUGGAAGCAGCUUCCUAUGCUAAUGUUACCAAACAAGUGGUUGCCCGGUUUAUCAAGAAGGAAAUCAUCUGUCGUUAUGGGGUUCCCGAGAGAAUCAUUACUGAUAAUGGUUCGAAUCUCAAUAAUAAGAUGAUGAAAGAGCUUUGCAAAGAUUUCAAGAUUGAACAUCACAAUUCAUCUCCUUACAGACCGAAGAUGAAUGGUGUUGUAGAGGCAGCAAACAAGAAUAUUAAGAAGAUUGUGCAGAAGAUGGUCGUAACGUACAAGGAUUGGCAUGAUAUGUUGCCUUUCUCUUUGCAUGGGUACCGUACCUCAGUACGUACGUCGACCGGGGCAACCCCUUACUCCCUUGUGUAUGGUAUGGAGGCAGUCCUACCUAUUGAAGUGGAGAUUCCUUCUCUGAGGGUCCUGUUGGAUGUCAAGCUUGAGGAAGCUGAAUGGAUUCGAACAAGGUUUAACGAGUUGAGCCUUAUCGAAGAGAGGCGGUUAGCAGCUGUGUGCCACGGACAGUUGUAUCAGAGAAGGAUGAAGAGAGCCUUUGAUCAGAAAGUGCGUCCUCGAAGCUAUCAGACUGGUGAUUUAGUUUUGAAGAGGAUCCUUCCUCCCGGAACAGAUAACAGGGGCAAGUGGACUCCUAAUUACGAAGGUCCAUAUGUUGUUAAGAAGGUUUUCUCCGGUGGAGCCUUAAUGCUUGCAACUAUGGAUGGUGAAGAUUUUCCGUCCCCUGUUAACUCAGAUGUAGUCAAAAAAUACUUCGCAUAAAUUAACCCGCUGGACAAAAAGAAUAAAAGAGUCCAGGCAAAAAAGGGCAUCCCGGCGAACCAAAAAAAAAAAAGAAAAAAGGUUCGGGCAAAAGUUAGGGAUAAAAAAUGAAAAAUAUGUACACCCGGUAAGUCGAAAACCCGCAAGGGCGGCUUAGGCAAAAAUGGGUAUCCCGGUGGAUUGAAAACCCGAAAGGGCGAUCCAGGCAAAAGAGGGAUUAAAGCAAAGACUACAGUUUGAGUUAUCUGUACUUCAUCGCGCUUCAGUGUCUACCAUCUCGAAGGAUAUGAUCGGUCCAGUCAUUCUUCUCAGAAAGCAAGGAAUUUAAGGAGAAAUUGAUGAUCUGUGAGUCAUAACAGAAUUGGGAAAUAGUGGAUGCCGUAUUCACAUUGCCAUUAGGAUAGUUUAUUUUCCUUUUGUGCGCAAUUACCUCUUUCUAGGAAUUGCUUCCUGAAUUGCCAUUAGGAUAGUUUAUUUUCCUUUUGUGCGCAAUUACCUCUUUCUAGGAAUUGCUUCCUGAUGUAUUUGCCUUUUCAGGCCCAUUUUCAAUCAAUAAAAGUCGUUAUUCAGAUAAAUUGCUCUUUUGUUUUAUUUUACUGUUUUGUUUGCAAAAAUGUCCGAAUUUUUGAUAAACAUUGCAUAUAAAAACAUGAAGGCUAAGCAAUAACGUGCAGAAAGAUAAAACAUUUGAAAAUCAUUUUGAAUGUUGAGUACAGUUGAGUGUAUCUUGUCCAUGCAAUCCCCUGGGGCAUGUGUGUCUUGCUGUUUUGCAGGUCAUUACCUUUGAUUCCUGGCUGAAGCAGAUAAGCCACGGUUUGUUUAGGGAUGUUGUCAGCACUGUCCAGUAGUGUGAAAGGAUGUUGUAUCCCCAGCAGAUGAAGCAAGUUCAGGACUUGUCUCUCCAGCAUAGUCAAGAUCAGGGAUUCUACAGCAGGAUCGAGGAUGUUUCCCUAGCAGGCUUGGAAGUGGCUGUUUCCCCAAGCAAGUCUGAAAGCUAUUAUAACUAUUCUUCCCCAGCAGUUGGGUAGCAAGCUGAAGGCUAUUCUGUCCCCAGCUAGUCUGAAGAUUAAUCCCCACCGAGUCGGAAGGUUGUUGUAUCCCCAACGGAGGUGUCAGUGAGUAGUUUAUUCCUCAGCAGUCGGGUAUGAAGUACUGUAAUCCUCAGCAGAGUUGUGAAUGCCUUUCCCCAUCAGGGUUGUGAAUGUUUCCCCUAGCAGAUCUCCCCAGUAGAGGUUUGUGUUGAUGGUUUUCCCCAGCGAGUUCCCCAAGUGGAUCAGGUUCGGUGAGAGUUAUCCCUAGUAGAGUUUAUCCUACCUAUGGAUUGGCUGCUAUCCUCAACAGAGGUGAGUAUUGGUUGUUUCCCUAGCGGAAUCCCCAAGUGGAUUGGAUUUGGUGAAGGUUGUCCCUGGUGGGAUUUAUUCUUUCUCCAGCAGCAGUGCUAGUCCUCAGCAUGAGUGAGAGGUUAGUGUGUUCCCCAGCCAGAGAUUCCCCAAUUGAGUUGGUUUCUCUGCCGUCCCCAGAGUAUCAAAUCAGCAAGGCACCCCCGGCAGGGCAUCUCCCCACAGAGUUGGAAAAUCUAUUCAGAUUUGUGUGCUCAGCAGAAUUGCUCCCCAGCAGGAGUUUUUCAUCAUUUUUACAUCUUGCAUGUAGUAAUCAUUGCAUCCUCAAAUUGCGUAGCAUUUCCAUUCGACAUGGAGCAUUACGCCAUAGAAAAAUUCAAACAUAUGCAUUCAUGUGUUAAACCUAAUCAGACCAUAUCCCCGGCAGAGGCGGAUCAUUAUUCAACAUCCUCAAAUUGCGUAGCAUUUCCAUUCGACAUGGAGCAUUACGCCAUAGAAAAAUUCAAACAUAUGCAUUCAUGUGUUAAACCUAAUCAGACCAUAUCCCCGGCAGAGGCGGAUCAUUAUUCAACAUUUGUACGGCACAUUUGCUACAGUUGCUCCUGACAGCAUUCAGGAUUGAUAAUUCCCCAGAGAGGUUUAUUUCCUCACCCGCAGUGAAAGGAAAGGUUGAUUCUCCCCAAUGAGAUCCCCAGCAAGUGUUUAGCCUUGCCUUGACAUAUGCAGAUGUCAUCCCUGUGAUACCGGUAAGUGUCAUGUCAGCACCCGUGUGUGUUCUUUCUUUGGUGUCGGUAAACACCAUUGUUUCGGUGUCGAUAAACAUCGAGUCUCACUCCAGUCAUCGGUAAAUGUCUGGUCAUCCCUCUUUGAUGUCGGUAAGCAUCAUUGUUUCAGUGUCGGUAAACAUCGAGUCUCACUCCAGUCAUCGGUAAAUGUCUGGUCUUAUUUCAUUUCUGAACAUCAUCUUUCGAUGUCGGUAAACAUCGAGUCUCUUCCCAGUCAUCGGUAAAUGUCUGGUUGUCCCUUUUUUGGUGUCGGUAAACAUCAUCUUUCGAUGUCGGUAAACAUCGAGUUUUUCCCAGUCAUCGGUAAAUGCUUGGUUGUGAAGUAUUUCUCUAUCAAAUCCCCAGUAGAGUCGUCGGUAAACGUCUUGUCUGGUUCCGUUUGUAAAUAUCUUUUUCCUCCCCAGUUGGAGAUGCCAUCGGUAAAUGGCCUCGUCUUGCUUCGAUAUCGGUAAAUAUCGAAUAUUUCCUCCCCAGUUGGAGAUGCCAUCGGUAAAUGGCCUCGUCUUGCUUCGAUAUCGGUAAAUAUCGAAUGCCCAGUUUAGCCGCCAUCGGUAAAUGGCCUCGCUUUCUGUGACAUCUGUUUCCCAGCGGCCAUCGGUAAAUGGUCUUGCUGACGUUGAUAUCGGUAAAUAUCAAGUUGCUUCGAAGCCACCAUAUCGGUAAAUGGUCUUGCUUCCUUUUAAUAUCAAAUUCCCGGUUGAAGCCACCAUCGGUAAAUGGUCCUGCUUCUUUUGGAUGAUUGUUUCCCAGCCGCCAUCGGUAAAUGGCCUCGCUUUCUUCGAUAUCGGUAAAUAUAGAAUCCCUAGCUUGUCCGCCAUCGGUAAAUGGCCUCGCUUUCCUAAAGUAGUAUUGUGCAGCCGCCAUCGGUAAAUGGCCCCGCUUUUCUUUGAAUCAUCUCCCGCAGAGUGCAAAUUUCUACGGUUCUUUGGUAUUCAAUCCCUGUUUACCUUGAAGGUCUGACAAUCGUUGCUCUCAUCCGUUCAGGUUCCCAUUUGAUUGAAUAGGGGCAGUUGUAGCACCUCAAAUUUGCACCUCCCUUUUGUACAUUCAUUUCAUUGGUAGGUCAUAAGCAUUGCAUAUCAUGUUGCAUCUCAUCAGUCAAGACUGGUCAGGAGAUUCAACUGUGCAAGGCAACAAGAGCAUUUUCCAUGAGAUGAAAGCCCUAUGGUUGUUAUAAUGAGCUUACAUGACCCAAGGAUCACUUUGAAGCAAUUUGGCCAAGUGUUGAAGGCUCAGAACUCAUCAGUGCAUGUGCAAGUCAUCUGAGGCCCAUAAAAGUCAACUGCAAAGUCAACUGUGGAUUUGGAGGUGGGAAGUGGUUAGAGAUGCUUCAUUCAUGUUCAAACAAGUCUCAUUUGACAUUUCAAACACUCACAUUGAAGAAUUUGAAGUCAAGUCAAGAAUUUCCCAAAAUAGAAAGUGACCCAUAAUUUGGAAUUUCUAAAAAUGGCAAGGUUUUCGACCAACUUCAACUCAAUUUUACAUCAUCAAGAAAGCUUCAAAUGAAAUUUUGUCCAACAUGAAAGUUGAAGAUAUUUCUCUACCAUUUCCAAAAAGUCCAAGAUCAUGGAUUUAUGAUGUGUGGUUGAGGAGAUAUGAUCCGAUCAUGGCAAAGUGUGCUUAAAAUUUCAAAUGGGCAUAACUUUUGAACCAAGGCUCCAAUUUGGGUGGUUCUUUUUGCAUUUUGUUCAUCAUGACAUGCACUUUCCAAACAUAUCAUUACAUAGCAUGAAUUUCACUUGCAUGAUCAUGUGCUCACUCAUGAAGUUUUUGGAAGAAAAAUUUCUAAAAUCAAUUUGGUUGAUCAUAUGCUUAAAAAACCAUUUCCAAAGUGUGCAUGGGUUAUUUUUAAGUGGUUUUGGGCCUUAUGUUGGUACUGUUCACGCAUGCAUGAAGGGCAUAAGGUGAAAAUCCAAUUUUGUGCACACACCUCAUAACUUGCUAAUCUCAAUUGGUUUUGGCUUAAACAUGUUUUCAGUAUCAUUAGCAAGACAUAUAUAUUGUUAAUCACAACUGCAUUUGGCAUUAACCACAGUUUUCAGAUCUAGAUCUCAAAAUCAACAAAAUUUUUCUCUCAAAAAUAUUUCCAAAUUCUUCACACAAAAGCCAUUUCUAUUGAUGGAUUCAUGAUCAGGAAGUAUUUUUGAGGCAAAUUGAACGUGGACUUGGAUCAAAUCGUGCUAGUUUGAACCAUACUCGAAGCUUGAAGGUUCAAUGGAGUUUGCAAAGUCUACUGGAUUCACGUGCGUUUGAGCUUCAUUUUUUCCAUCAAUCAUCUCCACAAGCAUCAUAGAGGAGCUUUGGACCAUUACAAGCCUUGGAUAGCGUGAUUCAAAGGUGCUGCUCUUCAAGAGGUUGAUUUUCGAUCUCAUCUAUUCUCCAAUUCAUUAUGAUAUUUGUAUAGAUCUUUGAUUGGUGAUCAUUCUGGUAUAAAAUUUGAGUGAAAUGGCGCAUUAUUCAUGAAGAUACAUGCAUUUGAAGUUUUGAUGUCAAUUUUUCUUUUCUUCGAUUUGAGCGAUGCUUGAUGUUUUAGUGUGAAUUGUGGUUUGAUCUUGCAUGUACAUGAGCCAAGGAUUCGAUUGAUGUAAUUAUUUUUGAUUUCUGGAAUGGUUUUGAAAAAUCUGGAAAUUUGCAUUUGAAGUUCAUCUUCAUCUUCAUGAGGAAGAUGAAGAUCAUCACGUUUUCCAGAANNNNNNNNNNNNNNNNNNNNNNNNNNNNNNNNNNNNNNNNNNNNNNNNNNNNNNNNNNNNNNNNNNNNNNNNNNNNNNNNNNNNNNNNNNNNNNNNNNNNUGUGUGUGUGUGUGUGUGAUGUGUGUGUGUGUAAUGUUGUGUGUGUGUUUGAUUUGUGUGUGUGUGUAAUGUGUGUAUGAUGUGAUGUGUGUGUAUGUAAUAUGUGUGAUGUGAUGCGUGUCUCUGUCUCUGUGAGUGUGAUGUGUGUGUGCAUUUCUCUAUGUGUGUGUGAUGUGAUGUGUGUGUGUGAUGUGUGUGUGAUUAGUAUAUAUAUAUGUGUGUGUGAUGUGUGUGUGUGUAAUGUGUGUGUGAUGUGUGUGAUAUGUGAUGUGUAUGUGUGUGCGUGUGCGCGUGUGAUGUGUGUGUGUAUGUGUGAUACGCGUGUGUGUUGUGUUUGCGUGUGCGUGAUUUAUGUGUGUGUGUGUGAUGUGUGUGUGUGUGCGUGAUGUGUUUGUAAUGUGUAUGUUUCAUAUGUGUGUGUGUGUGUGUGUGAUAUGUGGGUAAUGUGUGUGUGUAUGAUAUGUGUGUGUGAUGUGUGUGUGUGUAAUAUGUGUGUGUGUGUGUGAUGUGUGUGAUGUGUGUGUGAUGCGUGUGAUGUGUGUGUGUGAGAGGUGUGUGUGUGUGUGUGUGAGUGAUGUGUAUGUGAUGUGUGUGUGUCUCUGCGUGUGUGUGUUGUGUGUGUGUGUGAUGUGUGUGUGAUGUAUGUGUGUGUCCUUCGUGUGUGCGUGUGAUAUGUGUGUGUGUGAAACUGAUGAGCAAUUUGCACAGCAAUAAACAGACAAUUUGAUAAAACCAAUAAACUCAUAAGACGUAUAAACCAGGUAAAUAGCAACAACACGACUCAAACAGACUCGAUUAAAGUCCACAGCACAACACCGUAAUUAAAUAAACAACCUAGGGCAAUAAUAAAAUCAACACGACAUCACGAAAAACGCUGACAAACCAAUCACAAAUAAUCGGGACAAUACGAAAACUCUAAUAUAUUCGAAAAUACAGUCAAAAUACCGACAAACAACAAUUAAAUAGAUAAAAAAAACGUCACAAAACCUAAUCAGAAGCGAUACCACGCCACAACAGAGAUAAGCGAGAUAAAUACGACCCGGCAACGAUAUGCGCCAGGUUUUGCUAAACAACGAAAUACAACACGGUAAGCAACGCGAAAACACACAAAACCUAAUCAAACCAGCUGUCACGCGAAGUUUAAGAAAAUUGAGGAAUACGAGAAACGAGAUUAAUCAAAGAUGUGGUCAACAAAACCAAAGUCAAAUUUUAGGGUGCGACACCACAUCUGCUCAAAACAAACACACUGCGCUUGAAAGAGACACAAGAAAACAAAAGAAACUGACUCGGCAGGAUAUCGCAUCCUGGGCCUACGUAGUCUAUCAGGCAUAGACAUCAGAGUCGACGUAGUUCGGACUAGGGGAAAACGUGCUCGCUAGGAUAUCGCAUCCUAUGCAUACGUAUCUUCUCGGACGAAGAAGAAUCAGAGCACUCGUAGCUCGGCUAACGCACGCCAAACAAAACAACACAGGAAAUCGACUGCCAAUCGCUGGACUUACGUCAAACUCCACACAAAGCUGGCAAACAUGGAAACCGAAUGCCAAUCGCUGGGCUUACAUCAGACUCCGAACCAAACACACGCACACUGGAAACCAAAUGCCAAUCGCUGGACUUACAUCGGACUCCAAGCAUACAACAAGAGGAUACGGAAUGCCAAUCGCUGGUCUUACAUCCAUCUCCUAACCCACACCAGACAAAACAAAAAGGGCGCCCGAAGAGAUCUGCUCAUCUCCUGCCUACGUACCUCAUCUGGUAUGAGGAUCAGAGCGACGUAGUUCCCCUACGCAGGGACACAGGACUAGCCUAACCAGAUAACAAAGGGAGACACAACUAGGGAGACUACGACUCGAGCCUAGAUGUUAUCAUGCAAAUCAUCCCUACGUUAAGGUUGCUAUCUAACUUGCACAGGGAGCAAGCUAUCCUAAACAGCAUAGGCAAAAGCAAACAAUCACAAAUAACACACACUAUAUACACACAAAGUGGGCUCACGCAAGGGUUAGGCUGUGCAACACAAGCCAUCUGUAAUCAGGUGAUGUUAGCUCUUAACCCUAACAUUGAGAGUUAGGGUGAAGCAGAUGAAAUGGGAAGUGAGGAGUGUGCCUCACAGCUCUUAUCCCUGGCCUGGGAAAGCUUUAGACAAAUAAAGUGUGGGUUCAGAAAGUGGGAACCCUUCUACACUUAUGACUGACUCAACAUGGAUCUUGGGUUAAUAUCCACAAUGCAUCAACACAAUGGUGUGAGCAGAGGAAUGACUCAACUGAAUAGCAGGAGAUGGAUUGCAUAUCUCUUGUAUCUGCCAAUUGCCUUAUCAAAGGUCUUUUCCUGCUUGGGGACAAAGAUAAACAAGCACAAACAUUGCCUCUUAAGGAGGACUUCAGACAGGUGCCUGGCCAAAUAACAGGCCAGGUCUUCCAGACUACAUGGAGUUAGAGUCAUUAUACCUCAAUGCUCAAGUUAUCAAGCAAAGCAAAAGCAAGUUCACAAAGGAACUAUAGCAACUAAGGUACCUGAAAACAAUCCAACAUAAUCAGUACACAACUCAAACAAAAGUCAAACAGACAAUGGUCGACAGUUAACUGUACACAGUCAAACAACAAUCAAGCAAAGCAAUGCACAAAGGUGCAAGCCACAAGGCCUAAGUACAAGUCUCAAAGCCUACAAAACAAACUCAAGGUUAGUCAUAAACAAGCAAUGGAAGGCCUAAGUACAAGUCUCAAAGCCUACAAAACAAACUCAAGGUUAGUCAUAAACAAGCAAUGGACCAACUCCAAUUGAGUGCACAUCAUCAAGUAUAAGCAAUUGUGCUUUUUGACCUGAAACAAAACUCAAACAUUAAACACUAACCACUAGGACAACGCCUAGGGUCAAAAUGGGAGCAAUAAACCAAAACAGAACAUGAAAAUUAUCAAGAAUCAAGAUUAAUCAGUUAGGAACAACAUCCAAUUGGUCUCAUAUCCAUAUCAUCAAACAAUUUCAUUUCACAAAGCAUUUAGUGCAAAGCAUGUAAAUUGAAGCUCAUAGAAGCAAACAGAAUGAUUCAAUCCACAUCAACUCAAAAACAAUUCAUUAAAUCCCAAGAAAAAUCAUGUCUAAACAACAUCCAUCAAUUGAUCAUCAUACCAAAAUUCAAGUCAUUUGGAUAAGUGGAAGCAUGUCAAAUAAAUUCCCUAAGUCAAAGCAUGAUCAAACAAGCUCAAACAAAGCACAAAACCAUACAUCAACUUCAAGCAAGCAUAAAACAGAAUUCAAACAUGAUAUGGACAUCAAACCAAAGCCAAGACAAACUUCAAGGUGUCUAGAAUACAUGUGCAAAAUUUCAGGUCCAUCCAAUAAAAAUCAAGAAUUUCACAAAUCAUAGAAGUUCAUGACUCUCAAAACGUCCACAAAUGGUCAAACAGAAGAGAAAUUCUCAAACAAAUUGGAAAUGCACUCAAAAAUUCUACAAAAAUUCAUAAUCAAGCCUAACGUCCAGAAGGAUCAUCAUACAAAAAUUCAGGUUAAUUGGCAUAGAAUUGGAAUGGCAAAUAAAAUCAGAAAGUCAAGUAACCCAAGGUGUGACACACAUUGUCACAUCUUCAUUCAUCAUAGCAUAUCUUCACAACCAGAAAUGAUAAAAUCACAAACUCUAUACCAAAAAAUCCCUAAAGGUGUCUAGAUUAAGCAUGCAAAUUUUUAGCUCCAUUGGAUUAAGCAUCAUCAUUUCACAACCAAAAUAGCAAGCAAGGUGCAACAAAACACAUGUAUGAACAUUCCCUAGCCAAAACAAAAAUCCACACGUGCACAAUUUCUGGAAAAAUCACCAUAAAAUAGUAGGGAUCUUGAGGAAAACAAUGGAAAAAAUCUCAUGUUAAUUGGACCAGUAAUCAUGGAGUUAUGAAUUUUUUAAUGAGUGGAAAAAAUAAAAAAUGAUGUGAAAUGGCAUGGUGAACAUGGAAGCAUAAGGUGAAAAAAAAUGCAAAGCCAAUUUGAAAAUGCUUGGAGGCCAGGAUCGAACCGUGUUCGAAUUUGAAUUGUGGCACUCACUCUAAACGCAGCGUUUCAUUUAAAUGAACGUUGGCCAAUCAGAAACAAGCAUUUGGCCCAAUACAUGAGCGAUAAACAUGAAAACACAUGCAGGCAAGGCUGAAACGGAUUAAACACGUUCUGGACAUGAAAAUAUUAGGGUUCUUGAACAUUCAUACACGUUCUUCAUCAUUUCCAGGCUCAAGAACACUUUGUCACCAAAAUAAAAAAUGAACACAUCACUAGCUUCGUCUUAGCAUGCACAUUAACAAUCCAAGAUCCAUUAAACCUAAUUCGUGCUAACAUGUAUGGAUCGAACAAAAGAAGAUUCACAUCUCAAACUUAAAAUCAACAUAACUUUCACAAUUCUUGAUGAAAAUACACGAUUCAAAGCUCAACAUACUCUACAUGGAAAGAUCUAUCAAAAACACAUCAACAUUUCAUGAAUUGCAAGAUUCGAAAUCCAACCUGAAUUGAAGUGCAGAAAUGGAUUCGUGGAUUUCAGGCCUUGGCAAGGUGAAACAGAAG